GAAACGGUGGCAGUUCCUUUUAAAGCGUCUUGAAAAAUAAAUAACCGCAUCAAACAGCCAUCUCGCGGACUGGUGGGGGUCAGCGUUACGCUCAGCUGGACACCUGUCGCAGUUUGCUUACGUCAUUCUUGCGACUUGUUCGCCAUAGAGAUAGAAAUCUGACAGAGAGAGAAAGAAGCAUCUUUUCUUUGAAAGCAAUUGGCAAAGAGGUUUUGUUUUUUGUUACUGAGCCUUCAUGUAUGUUAAGAGGUUGGCUUGUUGACCAGGUUGGUACUUCGAGACCCAAGUACCAUGUGAUUGGGCACCAAAUCCAAGACAGAAAAGUUUGAGAACACUCCUUUUAUACCACACUGAGUCUAAGAAAACUUUCUGGAAUUUAGGGAAGUGUAUAGACUCCCAGUGAUGAUAAGCACGGAUGAUGUUUACUGAGUUUGGGUAAUGAAACAUCUAUAAGAAAACAAACAAGUUCAGGGAGCACCAAGGACCCCUCUGACGCCCACUCACAUAAUUUUUUAACUACUGUCUUGUUCAUUGUGAUCAGAAUUAGUCAAUUUGGUUGUUUCAAAUAUAUCACAUUCAUAUGGUAGAAUGAUUUGGGGGUUGUUUGAGUACAGGGAAGCAAAUACAACAUAGGAAUUGUUGUAUUCCUACACUAAGCCAUAAUGGCUGGAGCUACUUUUUAUGCUACAGUAGAUAAUUGACACAUUUUCUCAACCCCCAACAUUGUAGUUUGCAAUCUGUUUAUGUCUUAGCAGGAUAUAUGAAAUUUUGAAUAAUUUAUUAACCCUGUUAAAUAUGAUAUUCAGACUUUGAUUUUUAAACUUGAUAGGUCUCACACAAAAUUUACUUAUAAUUUCCAUUUCAAUAAAAAGCCACCUCCUAUAAAACUUCCCAAAAUAAAUUGAGAACAUUCCGAAUGGAAAUAAUUAUUUGAAUAUUUAGCAUUGCAGCUGCAUUUCUAAAUCCACAAGAAAUGAUAAGCAUAGGAGCUGCAUGUUUCUGAUAAGGAACUAAGAAAUAAUGCUGACAUUUAGGUAUAAGGGCUUAGACUUUAGAAUGAGCAUUUCAUCAAUAUGAAUGAGACAGCUCAUACUUUGCAGCAUUAUUUUUGCAAAUCUGGCUGGCUGAAGAUAACACUGCACUCAACACUGGGAAGGUUAUCACUGAAUUCAGAGAAAGAUAGCACUAUAUGUAUUCUGAAGAAACAUUCUAUAGAAAGACAACUAAAAAUGAAAAAGAGCACAGUACACCUGGAAAUACAAAAGACUUAUUUCCUGGUGUGCUAGAUUUUUCUGGAACAGUGGUUAAAAAGACAUUUUCUGUGUGUGGGAAGUCAACUUUCUGAUAUAUCCCAGUUUCUUAAAGAAUCAAGACCACUAUUAGUAGUGUCAUACAAUGUAAAAGCUCACAGAAUAAGCAAGGAACUAAUAUCAAAACACAUUGCUGCAAUUUCUUCCAAAAUAGAAAAAUUAAAUGUAGUUAACUUUUCCUUCCAGUGCUCUCAGUGGAUAGUGAGAAAUUUUUUGCUUGCUCAAGAGAACUUUUCAGUCCCCUCUUCUUUGCAGCCCUGUGGAUCUAAUCCCAGAUACAAAUAGUUCUAGAUGGUUUUACCAAAAUGGAGGCACUUAAUGAAACACGAAUCCAUUCUGCAAGUGAUUUCUGCCUGAUGAAAAGCAGCAGUAAAUGUGUCACACGUCAAUGA